GUCCCCUUCGUCUAGUGGUUAGGACACUGGGUUUUCAUCUCAGCAACAGGGGUUCGAAUCCCCUAGGGGACGCCA
rnacentral:tRNA from 1 species